AAUGGUCAGGAUAGAAUGGUGCAUCUCGAGGUGGCUGGAACCUUAGAUUUAAUUCAUUGAUAGCAGCUGAACGUGAGGUUCAGUGAUGUCACUAAGCCAACUCCCUUGUGUGGAUGAGGGGCCUCCCUCCUCCUCCGCUCGUGCUCAGGAGAACCUGAUGUGACGAACAUCCUAGCCCUGUCCUGACCCUGCCAUGGGCACCAGACUCCUCUGCUGCGUGGCCCUCUGUCUCCUGGGGGCAGGUCACACAGGAGCUGGUGUCCUCCAGUCCCCCCGGCACAAGGUCACAAAGAGGGGCCGGGACGUGGACCUCAGGUGUGACCCAAUUUCUGGUCAUGCUGGCCUCUACUGGUACCGACAGGCCGUGGGGCAAGGCCCGGAGUUUCUCGUUUCCUUCCAAAACAAGCACAAAGUAGACUCCUCAGGGAUGCCCAGCAACGAUCGGUUCCAGGUGAACAGGUCCGAGGGGUCCUACUCCAUUCUGCAGAUCAAGCAUGCGGAGCCGGGGGACUCAGCUGUGUACCUCUGUGCCAGCAGCCCUACCACAGUGGGGCACAGCCACCUCCUUCCUCGUCACCAACCUCAUGUGUUUACUUCUCGUAGUUCACAGAAUCCCCGCACAAAGGAGUUGCCUGCUUCUUCUUCAUCAGGGGCAACAUGUGGAUUUGGGACUUAGGC